UUCCGGUUGAUCCUGCCGCCGGACACUGCUAUCAGGUUUCGGCUAAGCCAUGCGAGUCUAGGGAUCGCAAGAUACCGGCAUACUGCUCAGUAACACGCGGAUAAUCUGCCCCCAGGUGAAGAAUACCCUCGGGAAACUGAGGCUAAUACUUCAUAAUCACUAUAUGCUGGAAUGCUUUGGUGAUGAAAGAAUUUCGCCUGAGGAUGAGUCUGCGGCCUAUCAGGUCGUAUGUGGUGUAAUGGACCACAUAGCCUAAGACGGGUACGGGCCUUGAAAGAGGGAGCCCGGAGAUGGACUCUGAGACAUUAGUCCAGGCCCUACGGGGCGCAGCAGGCGCGAACACUGUGCAAUGCGCGAAAGCGCGACACGGGGAGCUUGAGUGUCUUGGCAUAGCCAAGACUUUUCUCAUUCCUAAAAAGCAUGAGGAAUAAGUGCUGGGUAAGACGGGUGCCAGCCGCCGCGGUAACACCCGCAGCACAAGAGGUGGUCACUUUUAUUGAGCCUAAAGCGUUCGUAGCCGGUUUUGCAAAUCUUUAGAUAAAGCCUGAAGCUUAACUCCAGAAAGUCUGAAGAGACUGCAAGACUUGAGAUCGGGUGAGGUUAAACGUGCUUUCGGGGUAGGGGUAAAAUCCUGUAAUCCCGGAAGGACGACCAGUGGCGAAAGCGUUUAACUAGAACGAAUCUGACGGUAAGGAACGAAGGCUAGGGUAGCAAACCGGAUUAGAUACCCGGGUAGUCCUAGCUGUAAACACUGCCCAUUUGAUGUUGCUUUUCCGUUGAGGGAAGGCAGUGUCGGAGCGAAGGUGUUAAAUGGGCCGCUUGGGAAGUAUGGUCGCAAGACUGAAACUUAAAGGAAUUGGCGGGGGAGCACCGCAACGGGAGGAAUGUGCGGUUUAAUUGGAUUCAACGCCGGGA
rnacentral:rRNA from 1 species